rnacentral:ncRNA from 1 species
GGUAGAAAAUUAGAAAAUCUUAGAAUGCCUGUCAGCCAACAGUGUUGUGCUGCCAUGGAUGGCAGCGCAAGUCUUAAUGUGUCAGGACGACACAUUUAAGACGUACACGUCACUCCGAUACAACCUAAAUACAGGCAUCCUUAGAUUUACUUAUUUUCGGAC